GAAUCCAGCCACCAGGCCAGAGGCAGCCGAGCACUUCCUUCUACCUACACCUCAGAUGCCGGCCAGCUGCCAGCCGUGAGUCAACCUGAACGUGGGUCCUCCAGCCCUCAGCUGAGCUGCCCUCUACAACACUGUGUGGGGCACAGAUUAGCUGUCCCUGCUGACGGCUGCCUGCAUCGCAGAUCUGCGCGCAAAAGUAAAACUCAAUUUAAUCCAGAAGAUCGAUGAAAGUGGAAAAUCACUGUGGAUCGAACUCAGGACCUUGUGCUUUCAAGGCA